rnacentral:rRNA from 1 species
AUGGAUCUGGCAACGGGCGCCAUUGGCACCCUGCUCCCCAAGCUGCUGGAGCUCCUCGGCGAGGAGUAUAAGCUGCAGAAAGGCGUAAGGGAAGGCGUCAAGUCUCUCGAGAAAGAGAUGAGGAGCAUGCACGCUGCCCUCCGCAAAGUGGCGGAGGUGCCACGGGAGCAGCUCGACGAGCAGGUCAAGCUCUGGGCGGGGGAGGUGAGAGAGUUGUCCUUUGACAUGGAGGACGUCGUCGACAAGUUCCUGGUGCAUGUCGAUGAGGGUUCUGAGCCUGCAGCAAACUCUAACAAGCUCAAGCGGCUCACGAAGAAGAUGGCCGGCUUGUUCACCAAGGGGAAGGCUCGCCAUGAGAUCGCUGACGCGAUCAAGGACAUCAAUAAGCAAGUCCAAGAUGUUGCUGAAAGGCGUGCAAGGUACAAUGUCGACAAUACCAUCGCUAACCUCCCUACUGUGACUUCCAUCGAUCCUCGCCUUGGGGCUAUGUACACGGAAGCAACAGGGCUUGUUGGAAUUGCCGAAGCAAGGGAUCAAGAGAUAAUGAAGUUGCUCUCGGAGGGGGAUGACAUGUCCAAGAAGAAUUUGAAGAUUGUCUCUGUUGUCGGAUUCGGAGGAUUGGGCAAGACCACUCUUGUCAAAUCGGUCUUUGAGAAGAUCGGAGGUGAUUACCACUGCAAGGAUUUUGUUCCUGUCGGUCGAAAGGCUGAGGAAAAGACGGUUUUCACAAAUAUCCUUCUUAAUCUUGGCAUGAAUGGAAGUGAGCUCAUCAUGUUCAAUGAGCAACUGCUCAUCGACAAACUCCGGGAAUUUCUCAAGAACAAGAGGUACCUCAUUGUAAUUGAUGACAUAUGGGAUGAAGAACUGUGGACAGUUAUCAAGUGUGCAUUCUCUAGUAGUAACAAUUUUGGCAGUCGGCUAAUCACAACAACUCGUAUAGUCAGUGUAUCUGAAUCAUGCUGCUCGUCUACUAAUGAUUCAAUUUACACAAUGGAACCUCUUAGUGAUGAUGAUUCCAAAAGGUUGUUUUAUAAACGGAUAUUUUCUCUAGAGAGUGGAUGUCCUCCUGAAUUUCAAGAAGUAUCUAGAGAUAUAUUGAAGAAAUGUGGUGGUGUUCCAUUGGCCAUCAUUACCAUGUCUAGUCUUUUGGCUAGUGGUCAGGAGGUAAAACCUAAGAAUGAGUGGCACGUUUUGCUAGAGUCUAUUGGUCGUGGACUUACUGAAAACCGUAGUGCCAAGGAGAUGCUGAGGAUACUAUCAUUUAGUUAUUAUGACCUUCCUUCACAUCUGAAGACAUGCUUAUUAUAUCUAAGCUUGUUUCCGGAAGAUAGCAAGAUCAUGAAACAUCAGUUGAUAUGGAUGUGGAUUGCAGAAAGCUUUGUCCAAUGUGGGAAAGCAAAUACUAGUCUCUUUGAGGUCGGAGAAACUUACUUCAAUGAGCUUGUGAACAGAAGCUUAAUCCAGCCGGUAUAUGACGAUUAUGGCUCAGUACAUGCUUGUCGUGUACAUGAUAGUGUACUUGAUCUAAUUUGCUCCUUGUCAAGUGAACAGAACUUUGCUACUAUAGUGAAUGGUACUAGUGAUAACAUGUCUUCUCAGGGCAAAGUCCGCAGGUUAUCCCUCCAAAAUUGUACCAUGCCUCGCAUAUAUGAGAGUAUAGGACAAGUGAGGUCUGUUGUUACAUUUAAACCUGCUAUUGAUCUAAUGCCACCAUUCUCGAGCUUUGUUGUUUUGCGUGUAUUAGAUUUGGAGUUGUAUGAAUAUGGUGGUGCUAAGGAGGACCAUCUCAACCUUCAAGAGUUGGGGAGUUUGCUUCACUUGAGGUACCUACGUCUAUUUGGAAGAAGAACUGUUGAGUUGCCGGAAGAGAUUGGAAAGUUACAGUUUUUGCAGGUGUUGGUUUUGCCUGGACGUACAAGACUGCCGGCAACUGUGAUUAAGCUCACAAGAUUAAUGUACCUACUGAUUGAUGGUGGGAGGUUCCCACCUCCAGAUGGUGUUGGAAACCUGAGAUUAGUGGAAGUGUUGAAUACGAUCAAAGUUGGCUCUGUAAACAUUGCAAAAGAGUUGGGCAACAUGGACAGACUGAGGGAGCUUAAUAUUGAGUUUGAGAGCUCGGAGCCCGUGGAAGCUUUUGUGGAGUCGCUAGGAAAAAUGCAAAUGAUCCAGCGUCUAAUAAUCUGUGCCGACUGUGAGAACGAAGUUUCAAUGGAUCUGUUGGGGGAACGUUGGGUGCCCCCUGCAAGUCUCAGGGAGUUUAUCAUGCUCAUAGGCGUCAGAUUAUCUACGCUGCCAGCAUGGAAUCCAUAUCAUCUGUCACAACUCUUCAAAUUAUUAAUAAGUGUGGGGGAUGUGCGACAGGAGGAUCUGGGAUUCCUUGGAAGGCUACCGGCUCUUCGGGUUCUCUGGUUAUGGAGCGACAACCAAAGGCCGCUAGUUGUCGGCGCUGAGGGGUUCCGUUGUUUGGAAAAGUUCGUCUUGUUUUCCAACUCGCCGAGCCAAAUAUUGUUCCAGCCAGGAGCUAUGCCCAAGGCCAAAGAAGUUGACUUCAAAAUCGGUUUGCGGGUGGCAAAAGAGGAAGCAGCUGGCAACGGUGGUGAUUGGUUUGACCUGGGCAUGGAGAACCUUCCGUCCCUUCGGAAAGUCAAAGUCGAGUUCUUCCGUUCGGGAGUGACGGUCGGGGAGGCCAAGCAAGCACAGGCUGCGCUGCAGGACGCCGUCCUUGCCCAUCCUAACGGUCCCAGCUUUCUGAUCCGCUUCGACGAGGACAUACCAGAAGAUGAUAGUGAUGAGGACGUCGACUGCAACGAGGGCGAAGAGUCGGAGUGA